rfam:Loa loa cont3.3675, whole genome shotgun sequence.
CCAACGGCUCUUUCUUAGAGCCACAAAUACAAUGAAUCAUGCUUUU